GGUAACUUAGUCUUAUAUUCAUUAUUAAUGGAUCACACACCUACUCAUCAGUAUUUAAUGUAUAAGAAGAGUUUAUCUUAUCUCCCCGUCACCCCAACCAAACAAUUUUAAUUUAAACCUUAACUCUUCCUAAAUUUGUUCAUUACUUAUUAUUGUCAAACUCUAUAGGGUCUUCUCGUCCUCCAACCCUAUUUUAGCCUUUUAACUAAAAAGUUAAGUUUUAACUCAAUCCUUAUGAGACAGUCAACACCUCGUCCAACCAUUCAUACCAGCCUCUAAUUAAGAGACUAAUGAUUAUGCUACCUUUGCACGGUCAAAAUACCGCGGCCCUUCAAUUGUUCAGUGGGCAGGCUAGACCUCUUAUACUUCCAAGAAGCG
rnacentral:rRNA from 1 species